AAAUAGGGUAAGAAAUCCUCAACCAGUAGGACUACUUCUCUGAAUCUUGAUAUACAAACAGCACAACAACACUGCAGAUAUUAUUAAAUAGCACUUUCUCCCAAGUUUUUUUUUUUUUAACAUAUAUUCACUAACAAUGCUCAGGACAGUGUUUUAAGGUGUGUACUAUUUAAGUUCCCACUUUUAGAUGAGAGAACUGAGACAUAGAGAGAAGUGACUUAUCUGAGGUUAUCAACAACUACAUGGAAGAGCCCGGAUUUGAAACCCCCUUCACUCCCCAGCCCCCGCCAGAAAAUCAUCUGUUCACAGAGUUUAGUGUCUUGACCAUGUACCAGAAGGCUCUCACAAACUCAAUUAGGCACCACUCCUCAACUGACAUUAGCAAAUGGCUUUUAAAGUCUCAGGUCAGACACCUAAUCACCUGGGGCUAUGGCCACCUGGUACUUUGUACAAUCACCUGGUCAGGUGACACCCUUUUCCUGACUAUAUUAGGCUCUUACCACUUCAAGUUGCCAUGGCUGGGAAAGGGAGUGGCAACCUGCAUGGGCACAGCCUGGAAACAUCCACCAUGGAAGGAUCCUCCCGUGGAGGAGUGUCACGUAUUGGGCUUGAAGAACUUCCUGUUGUGCUGAGAACCUCUGCUGCCAGCACCAGGGAUCCUCCAUCCCAGGAUAUCCUAAAGAUCUUGUCCUUGAGUGUUCACAAGGUAGGAGCCAAUAUUGCCACCCUAGUGUCUGUAACAUAAAGGAGUUGCAGCAGUAGGAAACAAACAAAAAUAGAGUUAAUGACCAGAGCAGCUCCUAAAGGGGCUCUGCAGGUGCUCUAGGUCCUGUUCGUUGUCAGCAGAAACAAGAGCAGAUCUGUAGUAGGGAGCAGCAGUCCCAGAUGCCACCAAGGAGGAGUGCUUGCCACCCAGGACCAGGCAGUCAUGAUGAUGAAGCAGCAUGGUUUCUUGGAGCUAAAUACCAUUGCAAUAGGUUGACACCAAGUCCUGGUUAUCUUCAAGGUUGAUGUGACCUGGAGAAAAAUGGCUUAUCCAUGAUAAAUGUAACUUAGGGCACCUGGCUCAGUUGGUUAAGCAUCUGACUCUUGGUGUCAGCUCAAGUCAUGAUCCAGUGUCGUGGGAUUGAGCCGCACAUUUGAGAUUCUCUCACUUCCUCUGCUCCUCACCCUCUCUAAAAAGUGUGAUUCCUGUGUAAUUUAUAUUCAUAUUCAUAUAUAUGUGACUAUGUCAUGAGAGAACAACCACUAUGGACUAUAUGGAGAGAAAAAUUCUGUGACUGGGCAAAAAUAGCAUGUGUUUGCCCCUGUGUGUAUGAGUGUGUGCCAUUGUGAACUUGCACGUUGCCAAUAUCUAGCUCUUAUCAUAGCUCAAGACAGUUCUAUGAUUUGUGUUUUCUUUCUGCCUUUUCCAAGAUACAUAGCUGGCCACCAGGAAAGAGGUCAGAGUCCCUGAGUGCCCUUUAGCCUGAGUUGAGCUGUCUCUACCAAGCUGUCACAUUCAUUCAUCUUCAGACUCCCCCACAAUAUGCUGUGCUCACCCUCAAUCCAGAUUGCUAAAAUGGCAGCAUCGCAUGGCCAUGGAGCUCCAGUGUUUCACCAGCAAUACAGGGAACAUUUUUCCCCCUCGAUCAAAUGAGAUUCAGUUACAUGUGAAGGAAAACCAGCAUCGGCAGCUGGUGUCAUUUAAUAAAACCUAAAGUUACAAGUGUCCUGAAUAGUUC
rnacentral:lncRNA from 12 species